CCUACGGGUGGCAGCAGUGAGGAAUAUUGGUCAAUGGGCGCAAGCCUGAACCAGCCAAGUCGCGUGAGGGAAGACGGUCCUAUGGGUUGUAAACCUCUUUAGGCGGGGAGCAAGCCCGGGCACGCGUGCCCAGAGGGAGAGUACCCGCAGAAUAAGCAUCGGCUAACUCCGUGCCAGCAGCCGCGGUAAUACGGAGGAUGCGAGCGUUAUCCGGAUUUAUUGGGUUUAAAGGGUGCGUAGGCGGACUGUUAAGUCAGCGGUAAAAUGUCCGGGCUCAACCCGGGCGGGCCGUUGAAACUGGGGGUCUUGAGUGGGCGAGAAGUAUGCGGAAUGCGUGGUGUAGCGGUGAAAUGCAUAGAUAUCACGCAGAACUCCGAUUGCGAAGGCAGCAUACCGGCGCCCGACUGACGCUGAGGCACGAAAGCGUGGGGAUCGAACAGGAUUAGAUACCCGAGUAGUC
rnacentral:rRNA from 1 species